GAUUGGCUACCUCCUCAUAACCAUAAGAUAAUUAAAACUUGGCGGGGGGGGGGGGCAGGGUUAAAAAAACUUUUUUUAUCAGUCAGAGGAUAAUGCAAGUGUUUAACAGAUGCUUCACUAUUAAAAUAUUUUCCCCCCAAGUCUCAAAUAUUGAAGAAUCUCUAACCAGGGACACCAGUCCCUACGAAGACCUUGGGCGAUUUUGAAGUGCGGGCACCUCGAUUCCCCGAAUCUGUAGUGUGGCUGGUAUCGGUGUUCCCCUGGUUUAACUAGCCUGUUUGAAGGCACAGAUCAUUCAUGGGGAUGUAUAACCGAAACCAGUCCUCUCCACCGCCUGGGGAUCUUCACUUUCGCAGUCUACGACUGCCUGUGACUCCAGAAAGACAAACUGCAGAUUGGCCAAGAUGGGGAAAUUGAGGCAGAGAAGCCAAGACAUGUGCUAAAGGUCAUGCAGGCUAUGAAUGGAGCUGGAAUGUGAACGCAGGCCAUAUGACCCCAGAGCCCAUGUUCUUGAACCCUUAGAAAGACAGCAGCAACACACCUGGUGCAGCAGCUGCUUAGUUGGAGUGGCUGACAAGGAGAGAAUGAUUUCCAGGAAGAGCGGAACACAUAUGGAAGGCCUUAGCUUAUCUUUAGCGCCUCAUACACCCGUUCUGGACUUCAGAAAGGCCAGUGAGUGGGAUUAGGCCUCAGAGAUAGGAUGUCAGUCCCAGUGAGGGAUGGCCUAGAGCAUUCUUUAAUUCUUUCCUUUGGGUCACACAUAAGAAACAAUUUUCCAGCACUGAUGAGUGUUAUUAACAAUGAGAUGGGAUAGAAUUUAGUUUUCCCUAUGGCUGUGCUUCAAAAAUAGAAAAGCUGUCUUUUCUCUGGAAUGAUUGAAUGAAGCUCUGGGGAGGAAAAGGUGGAUUGGCAGAUCUCUUAAAGGAAGCUUCUCCUUCUAGGCACUAUUCUAAGGCUUAAUAUUUUAACUCCCUAUAUUAACCUAGUUCAACUAAACAGUGAUCUGAGUAAUUUUAUUUUUAUUAAAGCUCAGAUCAAAAUGCCAUUAACAUUGAUUGAGAAAAUCAAAGGAAUCUUUGAUGUGAGUGGUUAAAUUGCUGAAUUAUUUCAGUCCCAUACCCUCACAGCAUGAGUACCUGAUCUGAUAGACUUCUUUGGAAUUCCUUUUUUGUUUGAGACAGAGUCUUGCUCUGUCGCCCAGGCUGGAGUGCAGCGGUGUGAUCUCAACCAUUGCAACCUCCACCUCCCAGGUUCAAGUGAUUCUCAUGCCUCAGCCUCCUGAGUAGCUGGGAUUACAGAUGUGCACCACCAUGCCCGGCUAAUUAUUUUGUAUCUUUAGUAGAGAUGAAGUUUUGCCAUGUGGGCCAGGCUGUUCUCAAACUACUGGCCUCAAGUGAUCUGCCCGCCUCGGCCUCCCAGACUGCUGGGAUUACAGGCGUGAGGCACCGUGCCUGGCUGGGAUUCCAUAAUAAAUCCCUCUGUGUCUAUUUCUUUUUUCAAAUAUAAUUUUCUUCAUUUCCAAACAUCAUCUUUAAGACUCCAAGGAUUUUUCCAGGCACAGUGGCUCAUACCUGUAAUCCCAUUGCUUGGAGAGGCCAAGGUGGAAGUUCAUUUGAGGCCAGGAGUUCGAGACCAGGUGGGCAACAUAGUGAAACCUUGUCUCUACAACAU
rnacentral:lncRNA from 1 species